UUGCAGCAGUUGGGAAAAGCGGGCUCACGGUCCGCGCGUUGACUGCCUGGGCGGCGAGGCUGCAGUUACAAGCUGCAGCUACAAGC
rnacentral:tRNA from 1 species